CUCUCUGUUUAGGGUCAGUCACAGUGGUCAGGUAUUCUGCCACUGUGUUCUCUCUGUUUAGGGUCAGUCACAGUGGUCAGGUAUUCUGCCACUGUGUACUCUCUGUUUAGGGUCAGUCACAGUGGUCAGGUAUUCUGCCACUGUGUUCUCUCUGUUUAG